CCUACGGGAGGCAGCAGUGAGGAAUAUUGGUCAAUGGACGAGAGUCUGAACCAGCCAAGUAGCGUGAAGGAUGACUGCCCUAUGGGUUGUAAACUUCUUUUAUAUGGGAAUAAAAUGUUCCACGUGUGGGAUUUUGUAUGUACCAUAUGAAUAAGGAUCGGCUAACUCCGUGCCAGCAGCCGCGGUAAUACGGAGGAUCCGAGCGUUAUCCGGAUUUAUUGGGUUUAAAGGGAGCGUAGGUGGAUUGUUAAGUCAGUUGUGAAAGUGUGCGGCUCAACCGUAAAAUUGCAGUUGAAACUGGCAGUCUUGAGUACAGUAGAGGUUGGCGGAAUUCGUGGUGUAGCGGUGAAAUGCUUAGAUAUCACGAAGAACUCCGAUUGCGAAGGCAGUUCACUGGACUGCAACUGACACUGAGGCUCGAAAGUGUGGGUAUCAAACAGGAUUAGAUACCCCAGUAGUC
rnacentral:rRNA from 1 species